AGGUGCUGCAUUGGCUGUCGUCAGCUCGUGUCGUGGGAUGUUGGGUUAAGUCCCGCAACGAGCGCAACCCUUUGUCUUUAAUUGCCAUCAUUUAGUUGGGCACUUUAAAGAGACUGCCGGUGUCAAACCGGAGGAAGGUGGGGAUGACGUCAAGUCCUCAUGGCCUUUAUGACCAGGGCUACACACGUACUACAAUGGCCGGUACAAAGGGCAGCCACUUAGCGAUAAGGAGCCAAUCCCGUAAAGCCGGUCUCAGUCCGGAUUGUUCUCUGCAACUCGAGAGCAUGAAGUCGGAAUCGCUAGUAAUCGCAGGUCAGCAUACUGCGGUGAAUACGUUCCCGGGUCUU
rnacentral:rRNA from 1 species